UGGGAACGUGCCCUUUGGUUCGGAACAACUCCGGGAAACUGGAGCUAAUACCGGAUAAGCCCUACGGGGGAAAGAUUUAUCGCCAUUGGAUGGGCCCGCGUCGGAUUAGCUAGUUGGUGAGGUAACGGCUCACCAAGGCAACGAUCCGUAGCUGGUCUGAGAGGAUGAUCAGCCACACUGGGACUGAGACACGGCCCAGACUCCUACGGGAGGCAG
rnacentral:rRNA from 1 species